rnacentral:piRNA from 1 species
UCUGGACCACAUUUAGGUUUAGUGCACCUU